UACGAAGGGCUAGCGUUGUUCGGAAUUACUGGGCGUAAAGCGCGCGUAGGCGGACCACCAAGUUGGAUGUGAAAUCCCAGGGCUCAACUCUGGAACUGCAUUCAAAACUGUUGGUCUAGAGGCUAGGAGAGGUCAGUGGAAUACCGAGUGUAGAGGUGAAAUUCGUAGAUAUUCGGAGGAACACCAGUGGCGAAGGCGGCUCACUGGCUCGAUACUGACGCUGAGGUGCGAAAGUGUGGGGAGCAAACAGG
rnacentral:rRNA from 1 species